CAGUAGCCGCGGUAAUACGAAGGGGGCUAGCGUUGUUCGGAUUUACUGGGCAUAAAGCGCACGUAGGCGGAUCGAUCAGUCAGGGGUGAAAUCCCAGAGCUCAACUCUGGAACUGCCUUUGAUACUGUCGAUCUGGAGUAUGGAAGAGGUGAGUGGAAUUCCGAGUGUAGAGGUGAAAUUCGUAGAUAUUCGGAGGAACACCAGUGGCGAAGGCGGCUCACUGGUCCAUUACUGACGCUGAGGUGCGAAAGCGUGGGGAGCAAACAGGAUUAGAUCCCUGUAGUCCCUGUCUCUUAUACAC
rnacentral:rRNA from 1 species